CGCUGCUCUGCCUCUCCAGGUUGGCACCCCUGUGGCAGUAAAUGAUACCACCAGCUGAGAGAGCUGAAGUGUUCUGGUAUACGGUGCUACUGACGCAGUGAUAGCACGAACUUUGGGAACACGUUUUCUGCCCUGAAGAAAUGCUACGUGCAGUUGUUAUUCGUGGAACUGCUGAAAUUCUUAGUCGGGAAUGGCAAUCUCCCAAACCCUCCGCCGUGAGCUGCAUCUGAAGAUACACGUAUGAACACAAGGGUGGUCCCAUACCCCCGAAAGCUAUGGAUCUGGUAGCACUGCUGUGUCUGCACCUGACAGAUACGUGAUGAAUGAGGCGUGCAUGCUUUGCAGCGACUUACCGCCUAUUCAGCAGCCAGUUCGAGAGAGGAACUUAGGAGAAAGCAUGGGUUAAAAAGAAGACUGUGCCUCCUUUGGAAGGCUUUGCUACAGACCCCAAGGAGCCACUGUGAGGAGAGACACUCGCCAAACUGGAUUGAAUUGUUCAUCCUUCCUUAUCCCCUAGGGAAGGAUGAAAUACCUCAAAGGCAUCCAGUUACCAGCCCACUGAUGUAAAAUGUGCCUGUCUGGGGAACGUCUCACGGGCUGCUUCAGGCAACCAGCUUACCAAAGCACACGCACAAGAAUUUAAUGAUGCUUUUGGUGCGUGGCUGCAGAGGCCUGACGUGAUGACGUUGCUUCUCCCCUGCCCGCUUGCAGUGCAGCAUGGGGUAGCUGGGGGCAUGUGGUCUGCUGCCCUGCCACGUAGUGUCUUUAAGCAGAAACUUCGGUUUUCUUGGCUGUCUGGUGAGAACUUGGGCCCUUAGAUGGAAAUGGGUGCUUUUGUGUGGGGUGGUGUUGCCUCGCCAUGAAAAUCAAGUGUAGCUGUGAGAAUGUGGGCCGGUAAACCUGUUCAGUAAAAACCUUUGUGAACGCUAAGGCCACAUUUUUAGAAGUCCUGUGUGUUACAGUGGAUGCUGCCUGCACUUCACAAUGCCCAAGUGGCCACCAUGAAUUGUAAUAACGAGCCCCAGCUGCUCCUGCUGUAGGCACUUUGCUCUUCUCAUGUGAGAUGCACCUUCACAGCCCGCCCGUGUGUUUCCAGCUGGAGGAGGAGCAGCACUUGGUGAGCCCCCCUGGCCUGUGCGCUCUCCUCUGCAGCCUCGUUGGGACAAGCCUCUUUCUGGCCUGGAGUUCUUAGGGCUGGCACAAGCAGAGGUGACAGAGAUGGUGAAAACUAGCACGGGGCUGCUGGAGAAGGGCUGAGGGCUCUUUCCAGCUGCCUGCGGAUUAUCGCUGUUGUGCCUGACACUUCGGCCCUUCUCUGGGGCAUCAUUAGGCUAGCGGGGAUGGCCGCGCUCCUCCUGAUGGUGAAGUGCAGAAAGCAGUCGCUGUAGAAAAGAGGCUGGAGCUCUGUCUCGGGGAAACACUGGGAAGCUGCUAAUAUACAGCAAAUAAGGUGGAUUGGUUUCACUUCAGUAUGUAGUGUCUGCCCCAGGGGCUUGCUGGAUGUAUUGCUGUGAUUUCUGGUGGUGUUUUGUACAACUUGAGUAGUGGUGUUUAAGAGGGAGGACGGGGAGCAGAGCGGAACAGAACUUAUCACGUUUAUAUAUAUAUAAAGAAUUUCUUGCCCUGUGUGACUAUUAGAAACAUGAUGAUUACCAUAAGGAACAUGCUUAGCGUGACUUCUACGAGUCUUGUGCUGCAGUGUAAAACACUCCCGUCUCUCAGAGAGAUGAACUUUGUGAAGGGGGAGCAUGAAGCAUGCACGUAGUGUGCCUGGCAGCUGCCAGGUGGGAAAAAUGUCACUCGAGCAAGAAAGGCCCAGAGUCAUUUUCUUCCUAGGGACAUAGGAUUUGCUCUACCUCUGGGAUACCGGGGCUGAAGCAUGUUACGCAGAGCUUGGAUCCGCGAGGAUGAGUUGGUGCGGAGUGGUGAGAUAGGCUUGUCAGCAGCGGGACCUUCGGUCUGGCACUAGCCACACUGCAAAAGCCUGUCUUAUCUAAGCCUGUGGAGCCACCCACUGCUGCAUUUUGACCUCCUGUACAUCAGCCUCGCUUGGUUCCGAAUAAUCACCCACAUCCCUGAGACACGACUGGGGAAUUCUUGGGCCAACCCCAAAAAUGCUUAAGUGAGCAAACCCAGCAGCAUUGAUGUGAUUAGCAAACAGGCGGGCUUCCUGUUCCCCUGCCGUAUCUUCCCUGCUCUCAUUCCCUCGCUGCCCUUGAGCAGAACUUGGCCAUAGGAUGUCUGUGGUGUGGCCUGGUGCCAGCUUAACCUCUGAGCACCCUAUCGGGCAGUAAAGCAGAACUUUUUUGUUCCUAUUUUGGCUUCCUGUCGUUGUGUCCUUCCUGCUCAGCUGGCAACGUGUGCAUCCUACUGGUAAGGACUGGGUCAGGCCUUUGCAAGCCAGCCCUUGUACCAGUAUUGCAGCCAGCUGUCCUCAGGCCUCCACCUGCACUUGUCCUCUCUUCUCCUUUUUCUAAAUGUGUUGCUGCUUUGAAGCAGUAGGGCAUGGUCUCUGCGGAGGCUUUCUCUGCCCUCGGUGCACUGAAACAGCUCCUAUUGAUGGGGCUGGGGUACACGUGAUGAAACAGAGGCUUUUGGUCUCUCAUCCAGGUGACUCUGAUUUCUGUCUACAUAGACUGAAAGCCUCUCGGAAAUGUGUUCAUCCCUGUGGUGUGGGAUAUGACAGCAGGACUGGCCUUUCCACUGGGUUGGGGCUAAAGUACAGCUCUGGAUGGGACGUGCUGGCAGGUGAAAAUGCCUUGUGUUGGCUCUUUACGCUCACUACACUGUGCACCACCGAUGUGAGGCUCCCUUUAUCACCUGUCACGUAAUGGGAGUAGUUUGAGCCGUCCCCUAGCUGAGUGAUGCUGCUGGAUGAGGAGGGGCUGCUGUGCUGGAUAAGUUUUGCCCAGAAAAUUGAUGCUUCCUUUUACAACGCCGAGGACAACUCUCCCGUCCUACAGAGGUGCUGAGCCAAGGCCAGCUGGCAGCCGAGGAAGAGCUCCUGCUUUCCAUGGCCUUCAGAGCAGGCAGCCAGGGCACUUGCUGCUGCUCGCUGCAGCAUAUGAUGCCCAGCAGUCGGACUUCACCGCUGCUGUAAAUGGAAGUCGUGCUGUUACAUCUUCGCUCCAGGAGCUAGCCUGUAAAGGCCUCCGAGAAACGAGGCACGGAGAGAGAUCCAUGUAUGGUCUCCACACCCCGGCAGAGCGCUCUUUUCUUCAUCAUGGAAAGUGAUGUGCACGUCCCGGGGCCGUGCUUCCUGGCCGGAUUCCUUGGCUCUGCAGGGGCAGAGUUUCUUCUGCUGCCCCCUGUGCUUACCUGUGAUCCCCUCCGUUUAUUUAAAUGUACCCUUCAGUAAAUGGCGAGCUAGUUCAGCUACCCAAGUGUAUUAUCCACAAGAAAACUGUAAAAAUUUGGGUCUACAGAAGAAAAAAAAGCAAGUAAAUGAAUUUCUUAAUUGCUAAACAAUGCCAAAGAAAAGACAGUUUGUUUAAAGCUGUUGAGGCCAUGCCUAUGCCAGGUUUUAUCACAACGGAAAAUACUUAAUUUCCUGAGGAAAAUUUUGAUUGCAGCCAAGAGCAGUUGCAGCUCUUUAAAUGUGUUUAUGCUUCCAGGUGAGUUUCCUACAUGUUUUAUCUGGCCUGGGAGAUGAAGAGAGGAGCGCAGUAACCUGGCUGCAGGAGCGCGCUGGGAAGGAGGGUGCGGGAGCACACUUGUUGGAGCCCUCCUCUUCCCUCCGGUGCUGCUCUGUAGGAAAAGGAGCAGUCGAAGGAGCAGUCGUGUUGGCCUCGGCCGUGCUGGGCUCCUCACAUGACACAGGAGACUGCCCUCGCUUGCCAAGCACCCUUUGGCAGCGGCACGGAGGAGGCUGGGUGGGGGCAGCGGGGGAGCGCGUUCAUUAACGCGCACCAGUCUGCCUCAAAAUGGCCAACGCGUGGAAACUUGCCGUUUCCCAAGGGUUUUGUUGGGCCGUUGGGGAACUCUGGCUGCGGAUGAGACUAUUUCCAGCUGUGGGGAGCCAAGUGUGAACUCACCCUGGGCAAGAUGCCCAGCUCCGCUGGUUUUCCUUGCCAGAAAUCCUCGCCCUCCAGCCAGCGAGACCAAACUCCGUUUCUGCCAGCCCUGAGCCAAAGAUUUCUGCAGGGAGGAGGAGGAGGAGAGGACCGAGCAGAGCUGGGACAGUGCUGAGGGGAGACCCUGAGCACAUGCACAGGGGGAGGUAGCAGUGGGUGGGCACCUACGGGGUGGCUGUGGGUGGUGCAGGGCCCUGCCUGGGCUGGGUGGAGAGGGCAGGGUGGGUGGUGGGGAUGCAAGGGCUUGGCUUUCCUCGUUUAGGGCCUGCGUGUGCCUUGUAUGGGUUUUUAGCAACCAGAGGGACUAAGGGAUUCAUGCCUGAUAACCGCGGUCCUUCCAGCGCUGGCAGAAAUUGCUAGGGAAAGGAAAUUUCUAGGUGCUGUUUCUGAUGAGUGCCUUUGGCUCCUGAUACCGUGGGUGUUCGUAUCCGGCUGCUUGGUUGGAGCUAGCAGGCCCCUGCUAAAGAGUUUCUGAAACGCCUGUAGUCACAGCGCAGUGCAUGCCGAAACAAAGCAUCAUAAGCACGGUGCUGUCUGUGUAGCUUUGCGUGCACGCACCUGUCUUCUGGGCCUGGUCACGUAGAGGCGUUGGAGCCGAUGGGGCCAGCGUAUGAACAGGAGACCUUCUGUUCCUGCGAGCACACCUCCUCCAACACUGAUAAUUUUCAGGUGCCAGCCUAUCAUUUAGUGACACGUUACACUGCUCCUCGCUGUUGCAGCCUGUUGCAAAUGGCCUGACCCAGCCAGCUCCUAACAGCUUCCUGCGGGGUAGACUGCCGAAAUCGGAAAGAGGUUUCCAGCCUAGACCCUGAGGAAUAUUUCCCUCCCCCUCCUAUGAUGGCUUGUUUCUUUAAAGCUGUUAACUGGCCAUAAUCCAAUCAUUACUACUGUAAUUAGUGAACUGCUUACAGUAAGUAAAACUGCGAGUGUAAUACCCUCUGCGCUUGCAGGCCUUGGAACAACUUCUGCCUGUGGCGCUGCGAGAGGCGAUGCGAGCGCUGCCCGUGGUGCAGGGGGCUCGGGGCGAGCCUGGCGUGGACCCACGCUGGCGCCGCUAGGGCUUCCCGCAUCGGGGGAGCUACGGGGCCCCGAGCUGGUGUGCCCAGGUCCCAGACCUCGAGGUUGCUUUGGGAGAAGCUGGGGAUGCUUCGAGGCCAUUGAGCACUAGCUGCUCUGCUCCUUGCUCUGCCCGAAGCAGCACAGUAAUGUGGGGGCUUGCUUCCGUCACAUCGGAGCCCAGGCUUUGCGCGGUGCUGCUGAAGGGUGUGGAGGGCACUGCGAGACAGCUGUAACAUGGCAGUACUUAAUGUUUGUUUUAUUUUUAUUAUCUGGUAGGAAAUGCCUACCUUGCAGCAGGCUCCUUCAGGGUAAAGUAAAAUACCUAGUUGCCCGGGUGCCAGCCGGCUCUCUGGACUCAGCAGUUGAGCAGGGUAUUCAUUUGUGGGGUAUUCGUUUGGCCUCUGGUGGGGGUCAGAAAGGUGAAAAGUCUGUUCGGCCUAAGGACAGGGUUUAAAAAACAACAACAACCACCAAAAACACUCUCAUCACAGCUUUCAUUUUGCUCUCGAGCAAUCACCUUGCUGCUUUUCCAGGCCUGGUGCUGGGCAGUAGAGGUGCAAUGAGACGCCUGGCUUGCACCAUGGCUCCCAGCAGGUGAAAGGAACAGAGGGAAAAAAAACUCUGAGCAUGAGUUCAACUUCACGUGCUCUGGAUUUAGCUUGUGAGGGGAGAGACGUCACCCCUCAGGACCUUGUGCAGGCUGUCGACUUCUGGCACUGCUGUCUGCGUACCUGCCUCACCACACAGGUGUCCACUGUUGUUCGAUCUUCCACACAACAUGCCGUGUGCUCAGUGCCCUGUGGGUCGGGGCGAACAGCUAGGCACUGAGUCCAGAGACCUUCGGGAUGGGCCCUGGAUGACUCCUCGCCUCUGCCCACAUCUUCCUGCCUCUCACCGUGCUCACAGCCAGGAGAUGCCUGGGGAAAGGGUGUUGUUUCUUUUUUGCCCUGCAGCACCUUGUACCACAGAUCUGAUCACCAAGCAUGGUUCCCAGACACUGGAUGGCCAGCAGCACUGAAGAGAUGCUAACAGAUUUUAAAUGGACCCUUAGCACAUACUUAUCGAUGUUUUCUUAAGGCUACUUAUGCCAAUUACAGCAAAUAAAAGUUGUUUCCCUGUUUGUGGUACUUGCUUUACAAUCCACUUGACUCAAAUGAAAAAAAUAUUGUCAAUUCAGUAUUCUCCUGUGCUAGUACCAAGCAUUUGGUUUUCUGCUUUAGGUGCUGUCUUGGCCGCUAUUGGCACACCCUGCUUGAGUGCUUCCCUGUCCCUCUUGACCAUGAGGCCUAGUAACAGGCCACUUCAGAGUUAUGCCUCUGUAUUUCUGUUGUCUUUAGCUCCAAACGUCUGCUUUCGUCAUGUCAAUCUAAAAUUGCAAGAGAUGUCCUUUCCCUACGCUCUCCCAACUCAGCAGUAUGCUGUAGCAAGUUUCUGAUGUGGUUAUAGCCAGAGAGAAUAUACCGAAUAUACAGAAGCAUACUGCUUUUAUUAAAUUUUGCUUGGAGUUUGAAGCCUCAGGUGGUACUCCUUUAUCUCUCUUUUUCUGCCUAUAUUUCCCAGUCCCAAAUUCUUCCUCUUCCUGUUCUCCUUUCCUUGCCCCACCUUCAUUAACAGGAGCUAAGGAGGGAGGUCCGUGUUCUUGGCAUCUUACGCUGCCAUUGUGCUGAUACCUCUGCCUUGGGUUGCUGGUUGUUGUCCUGCUUAGGUGGGUUGCUGGCUUUCAUCUCCGAUACAUUAACAAAAUGGUAUGGUACUCGAAGGAGCUUUUGCAGCUGUUUCUGCUGAAGAUAAUUAUUAAAAACUUAGUCUAUUCAUGAAGGAGAUAAAAUUUCAGUGGUGUCGCUUCAGAGCUUAAUUGGAAGUCUCUGGCUGGCAGCGAGCUCUGGCAGCCCUGCCCUGGGUAAGCCUUGCUCUGGUUCUCAGCAGGGCAGCAGCGGGCAGGCUUGAAACAGGGAAGUGUGUGCCCUGGGCACAUCUAGGAUGCGAGGUGUGGAUUCAGUCUGCUCAUCCCAUCCAGGGAAACGCUCCAGGGAUGAGCAGAGCUCUCGAUCAGUCGCUGGGUACAGUGCACACAGAGCUGUCCUCUGGAUAAGUGUGCUUCAGGAGGUUGCGAGGGCUGUCCUCACGCUAGGGCAAAGACCGAGGUGUUGACAAAACGCAGUUCUGCUCCCGUUCCCCUCUGACCUUCCUGUAUGAUGGAUUGGGAAGUCAUAAGUCACAUUCUCCUAUGACUACUUCUCAUGUGAACUGUUGACAAGGUUUUGUAAGGGUGCUUAUUUGUCAUGAAAUUGGAGUGCACCGAACAACUACUCCCCUUCCAAUAGGAGUAGAAAUACUAGCUCAACGUGCCUGUGUCUGUCAAACUGACAGGAGUUUAAUUUAUCCCCCCAUUCGCACGUUUGCCUUCCCAAGAAGUUAUGAGUGGGCAAAAUGUUUUACAUAUAUAUAUUAGGAAUAGCAUGCUCCAGAGCUCUUAAUGUAAUUUAUGUAGUGCUUAUCUGUUUUUUGGCUGGUGAAAUUUGGUACUUCUGCAGCCCUAGUGUACAAAUGUAUUGUAUAACUGUAGCCUGCAAAGUAUAUUCUAGAUAGUUUGCCAGAAGGUGAUGUAAGGUAUCUUCAAAUUGGCAGUCACUGAUUCCAAAGACCUGCCAAAUCUUAACAUUGUGCACCUAAUUUAUUUAACUGCUGUGUAUGCAAAUGGUGAGUGCUUUCUUCAUCCAUUUAGUCGGUGCAGGACUCACUCCAGGUGCAGUUUCACAGUCUUCAGACCAGUCGGCGUGCGCUUACCUGUCACCCAUUCUCAGCUGGAUGCAGACUGUCAGUAAAGUGGCCAAAGCUGACCCUGAAACCAGUCUCUCAGCGAUAUGGUAUUUGGGGCUGGAGCAAAAGCAGAGGCUUCUGAACACCUCAUGCUGGUUGGAAAGCAAAGCAAUGUGUUCUCACUCUCUCAAAACCCUGCCCAAAUUCCUUGAAUUUUUGCAGCUUGGACCAGGUGAUAGCUCUAGUCUGCAUGUGAAAAGAAUAAGCUGUCCGCCAGCUCUCCCUAGGUAGGAAUGCUGCUUAAAGCCACCUCGAGCCAUGCGAAAUAGCGGAGAUGCAUGGGGGAAGGGUUUUGGAGUGGGGGAAUGGAAAUGUGCCUGACACCAGUAAGUAAUGUUGGAAGCAGUGGGGCUGUGCUGGAGGCUUGCUGCACUAAGGGGCUGUGCUAGCAAGAGCUGCCUGCAGAGUACCUGUCCCCGGCUGCUCCUUCCCACCCCUGCAAGGCACAGCGUCUGCGUUGCUCCAGCGUAACUGCUUGCGGACCUGAGCCGUGAGCCAUGUGAACGGACUUCAUCAGGGUUAAAAUGAAUUUACCGAACAGAUAAAAGGGAGAAGUUAAACCUACAUAGCUCCCCACGGUGAGAGAGCAGCAGGAGAAUGGGAGAGAGCGUAAGAAAAUGAGGCUUUUAACUGGUUUUCCUGUGGAAAUAAGUAGCAGUGGAUUUGUGUUCUGACCAUCGCAUUGCCUGGUUCCCCGAGCGCUGGCCCUGGACUGGGGUUUGGCAUCUGUCUCACUGUCAAGUCCGAUGCAGUCUCCUGCCUUCUGGAAAAGAGUGCUUAAUAGCGGGUCAAAGAAAUCCUGUGCAGCAGCUGCUGAGCUGGGAAAGAAGCUUCUUCUGUUGCCUGUGCAGGAACGUUAGCCUCCUCCUUUUAGGCCCUGCAGAGACUGAGCUCAGAGUAGUUCACACGGAUCCAGUCGCUGAAGCUUUCAGGAAACAAAGGUGCUCAGCAAGUGCAGUCUUUAGUCCCGAGAGUCUGAGAGCCUAAAGCCUGGAGACUUUGCCAUGCUGCUUUGCAGAAUACCAGACUUCUUCCACGAGCAGGUACCAGUAGUCUGAUCCCCAUCUUUAAAGAGUCGCAAGGCUGCUUUAGAGAUUCUGGGGAGGAAAGGGCAGUGCUGUGGGUUGGCUCCUUCUGCCUGGGAGCCAGCACUUCCCUCGUGUAGUAGGGCUGGCUGCUCCCACAGUGAGCCGAGGGGGAGUCCCCUGUCAGCAGGGAGAUGCUCUGCUGCAGCUGCUCCGUUCACGGGUGCCGGGCUCUUUAUUCCCCAGCAAAUGCAUGCUGCUCUGCUCUGCUCUGUUUUGUUGCCUGGUUGCUGCCCAUACAGACCUAUAUAUCCCUGGCUUCUCCUGAGUGUAGUUCAAAGUCUGCAGCAUGAACGUGUCAGGGCUCCGUGCUGAAACUUCCUGUUUGGGACUCAUCAUACGGCAGUCCUAAACAGAGAGAAACCACAGAGAGCCGGAGGCAGGCUCCACGUUGUCAGGGCUGGGUUCUUAAGCAUCAGGGAAAAAAAGUGCUAGAGAGUAACCCACCAAGCAAAGCAAGAGGCUUAACAGUUUUGGCGGCUGAGAAGGGAAGAAAUGAGUUCUAAAUGGCUUAACAAUCCCUUACCUGCGUGCAGAAAUGGGCUGGCUGCUCGUGGCAUGGGAGACAGCCUAAUGUGGAAAUGACUAACUUCCUUUAGCAGUUGCCAGUGCAAUGCUUAGGACGUAGGAGGUAGGAUGUGAGGAGGUCCUGGGCCACUAGUAAGGGUGGUUAGGCUUGCUAAGUACCAAGUUGAAUGUAGUGCUGCGAAAGCUCAGUUUUCUGAGUUGAUCUGCCCAAUUUGUGCUGAAAGAAAAUGUUUCCUUGCCAUGCACGAUGCUCUGUGGCCAUCCGUGUAACCCGUAGGAAGAGGCCUGCAAAGACUAGGUCCUGCGUGCCUUGACGAUAAGGAUACCUGAUCCCCUGGGAGGGAGCAGGGGAUGAAAUUCAUCCCUUCCCUGGCUCCCAGCCUGCUGGUUCAGGCCUUUCUCCCCUCCCCAGGUGCAGUGGGUGCUGGAAUAGGGCCACACGUGGCCUUGGCCUGCAGCAGCCGUGACACUGCACCACGCGGCCGUGGUGCCCCGGGGCAGCAGCCAGUGCCCGCUGUAGUGCCCAGCGAUUGCUCGAUGAGGAAAGGGCCAGGACAACCGCGCCCCAGCUCUUCAAGCCCACCCGCUGGUUAUUCAGUGUGCUGUGAGCAGGAUUAUUCCUUCCUGGCCCACAGAGGAGAUGAGGUAGAGCCCCCCAGCUGUGGGAUGUGAAUUGCCCGUGCCCUUUUCCCUGUGAAGCUGCGCACAGACGGGCGUUGUUCUCUGGCGUGGCUGUGGCUGCUGCCCAGCCCUGUGCUUGGGUCCGAAUGGGGCAGACCGCCGCGUAAAGCGGCCUUCCAGGGGGCUGCUCGUGGUGGAAAUGGCAUUCAUCCUUCCGCUGUGAACGCGGCUUUCCAAACACGAUGGCGGCAAGCAGCAAGCUGAGGACAAAAGGCCAGCCAGCCUGUGGAAACGGGGUUUUGCUGUUCCCACUGCAGCUUCGUGCUGACAUGCGGCUGCCAGCAGGAAGAGGGUUAAGCGCUCGUAUCACAUGGCGAGGCUCUGUUUACUGCAUACUUCUCAUAAUCAGGGCUGGCAUCCAAAUCCGGAAGAAGAUUAGCACUUAACCAGAGACCCUGAAACAAUGUGUUUCAAACUGGUAUUCCUGUGAAGCUACGCAGUCUGCCAUCAGCCCUCUUGCAGAGACCUGCUCCUCCCUGCAGCCCUCGCAGGGAGCUACGGGGAGAGCAGAAAAUGAAUGCUUUUAGGAACCAGAGAUAGGACCGGACUGGACUGCAUUCAUCUUGGUAUAAGCUUGAAGCCGAGAGAGUUUUGCCAGGAGUUAACUUAUUCCAUAAUAACCUGAUCUCUUCCAAAAGAGGUUCUGGGAGUUUCUGGCUGGGACGCCAGUCCCAGAUGAAUGCCUGAAGCUGUCUAGGCUUGACAGUGAGCAGUCUGGGAAAUGGGAGCGUGCCUUGUGGCCAGAAGUUUUGUACGUGUGUCACUCAGCCGUUUGGCCAGUACUGAAUACAAGCAGCUGUGGCAGCAGAGAACCUGCUAUAAAAUUCAAAUUAGUUUUUGAGGUGUGGUUUUGUUCAAGAAAGAAAGCGUAAUUUUGUCACAAGGUCUGUAGUUUGCCCUUGCUAUGAGGAUGGGCAUAACUGUAAUAAGCCUCCAUGGGGCCGAGGGCAGGAUGCAAUUUAUCUUCCUACUCCUCCUCCUGCACAAGGCAGAUCCUCCAUUUCUUCCUUUCUCCUACCAACCUGUAAGACCUGCUCUGUUCUCCUCAGGGCUUCAAGUUGUGGCAGCAACCUGCAUUGCUGGUGAUUUCCAAAGCCAGUUCUGAAGACUCCUGUCAUGUCUUAGGAAUUGCAGAAGUCUUUCUUUUUCCUCCGUGCUUCCAAAGCUUUUUCCACCGUCGUCUCUGUUUUAUAUAAGAAGUGUCUGAUCAUCAUCCUUGGAUGAAAUUUAUGCAUUUGACAUGGAAGAAGGAGGAUGGAGAAGUGCAUUUUUUUUUCUCUCCGCAAUGAAGCCAAAACUAAUGGAAAGGGAACUUGCCUCUUGACCAUCCUGUUUGUUACGGGGGUCUACCUGCUUCGGGGCUGAAGGGGAAUGGGAGAGUCUAAGUACAAGCUUGAAAUACACCUGUGUUUGUUAGCAACGUCAGAAGGAGCCUUCUUUUUUUUCUGAACAAAAUUGGCUUUUAUUUACUACUUUGUGUUUCAGCAGGAAAGGAGGUGAUUUCCGGGUUCUUACUGCAUUGGGUACUAGGUGUGACUGCUGACCUGUGGUACAGGGUCUUAGCUGCCAAUAUUAAAACUAUAACUGUUUGAGUCUGUCUUGAAUUAACUUUUCUAUAUUGGUCUUGGUCUGAACUGGAUUACUGCAGGAGAAAUAGAAAACCACUUGGACUUCUAGAAAUAAUUUCAAUUUCCUCUAACUCAUGGUGGGUAUCUUAUGGUACCAGUAAGACAUCAACUUACAGUCACUGGAAUGAGUUUGUAGUUUUUCUGAAACAAGCUUCAGAAAUAAUAAGGUGGUGGUUUUUUUGGCUUUUUGUAUCAGGGUGUCAUUUGGCUUCCACGUGGUUACUAACACUUAUCUGUCAUCUGAAUGUCACCUUCUUGCAUGCACUUUGCCUCGUUCAGAUGGUUCCUUAGUGAAGAAAGCAGAUGACAAACUUCAUGGCAGUGAUGACUUACAGAUUACACAGAAGCUGCACGUACUGCCAUUUGGGUUAUCUAUUUCUCGUCAGAGUUGUUUUUUUUAAUGUAACAUGACGCAGGAUCCAGGAUCUGCUGGUUUUAUUAUUCUUACCAUACCCAUGCCUGCGUAUAUUGCAGUGCUAAUAAUUUAGGCGUUACGUAGGUAAAGAAUAAAAUCUCCUGGGUGUCACAG